rnacentral:rRNA from 2 species
UACGAACUGUGCAAACGUUAUUCGGAAUCACUGGGCUUAAAGGGUGCGUAGGCGGCUUAUUAAGCAGGGUGUGAAAUCCCCCGGCUCAACCGGGGAAUAGCGCUCUGAACUGAUGAGCUUGAGUGAGGCAGGGGUGCGCGGAACUUCCAGUGGAGCGGUGAAAUGUGUUGAUAUUGGAAGGAACACCGGAGGCGAAAGCGGCGCACUGGGUCUUGUCUGACGCUGAGGCACGAAAGCCAGGGGAGCAAACGGG